rnacentral:lncRNA from 1 species
GCGGGAAGUUCGAUUGUUUUUGGCAGAAAAACAAACGGACGUGUCGCGGAAGAAACGGAAGAGCGAGGAGAGGCUUAGGGAUUCGUUUGGCGACCGAAAGACAAAUCAUGUGGUUGUCGUAAUUGAUCAGCCAAAGGUUCCAUCUAGGUUGUGUAUCAACUUAGUUUCGGUGUUCAUUGAGUUGAAGGUUGUCGGAAUUGUUUACCCUUCUCUCGGUCAAAAGUUCUCUCGGAUAAGGUUCUCUCAAUUUUCAAGAUCGAUCAGUACGAACUUACUGAAAACUAGUGUUUGAUUUUGAAGGUUUCAACGAUGAUGUGCCAUCACCGUGUGUCGGUGUAAUCUUCGCGUGUCGGGUAGUAACUUGAACAAAAGAAGAAGACUUGCUCAAAGGCAGUGGUAAAAGAUCUCGAAUAGAUCUUGGUGAACCCUUUGAUCCAAUUCGGUUAAAGUCAGUUGACAAGUUAUCCCUUCUUCCAGUUGAUCGGGUUAUGUUAUUGGUCAAGUGCAAUGGUUCGAUCGAAGUGAAUUUGAAGGAUAGUUCGAGGGCUACUUGAAAAUCGUUUGAGGGUCUCUUGAAGUCCGGUCAAAAGGGUCACAUAUGUGGCAACCCUCACAAUCACAGGAAAUUAAUGGAUCUGGCGAAGUGUGCAAUCGUGUCAAGCUGCGUAGGGAAUAAUGAU